CUCAUUCAUUCAUUUAGUCAUUCAACAAAAAUAUAUUGAGUGCCAGCUCUGCCCUAGGCAGUGUGCCAUCCAGCCCAAACUAGGAAAGUUUCAUUACGUAAUGGAACGAGUGAAAAGAAUCACUUUCUUGAAUUUCUUCUUUGAAAGUCACUUUAUGACUUCUACUAAUUUAGGAGAGUUUAAAUGCAAACAUAUGAGGGCAGAAACAUGGGUUAGGGGAGGCUUCCAGUCAUCAAACACAACACAAGUUGUUCCUUCACUGUUAAAGUCUAAUAGACCUGAACUAAAAAUCAAACCUCUAUGACGUUUUUACUAAACUCUGUUGAUAAACACGGAAGGAAGAUAUGGAGCCACAGAUGUGUUUAUUUGACUUAGAAAGGGCUUAUUAGGGGGCAAUUUUUGUGGUGCAUCAUUUUCUUCAUUGAUCAUGCACAAAUGAUUCUUUUUAUAAAGACGUAUCAUAAAAUCUCCAACAUGGCCUUCAAAAGGAAACAGAGUUCAAAGAAAAUAAGGAAGGGUUUGCUCAGAUCUUCCAGAGAAGGAAGGAAUCUCGUUGAAAAAACUAGGACAUCCUCUGUCUGACGGGGCAACUGAGAACCAGAGAAGUAAACAAUUUUGGGGAAGAAUAAAAGCAUUCAGGGACUUUGAACCGUGGAAUGUUGAUAAUCGUUUAAGCUGAGUGCUGGAUACCAAGGGAUUCUCACUACUUUUGUGUGUUUGAAAAUUUCCAUCUUAAAAAAAGAGGAUCUGAACCCAUCCUACACAUAUGAAAAAGUGCCAGUCUCACAGGAUGUCAGAAGGAGAAAUGAACAUGGAAGUGGAUUAAAACUCACCCCGUUCCUUAAGGAAGAAUUAAGGAAAAGUUAGCUACUUUGACACAGGGGGAAAUAGUCAUAAAUAAAAGCAUUGGUAACACAG
rnacentral:lncRNA from 1 species